rnacentral:rRNA from 1 species
AGCGAACGCUGGCGGCAGGCUUAACACAUGCAAGUCGAACGGGCAUCUUCGGAUGUCAGUGGCAGACGGGUGAGUAACACGUGGGAACGUACCCUUCGGUUCGGAAUAACUCAGGGAAACUUGAGCUAAUACCGGAUACGCCCUUUUGGGGAAAGGUUUACUGCCGAAGGAUCGGCCCGCGUCUGAUUAGCUUGUUGGUGGGGUAACGGCCUACCAAGGCGACGAUCAGUAGCUGGUCUGAGCGGAUGAUCAGCCACACUGGGACUGAGACACGGCCCAGACUCCUACGGGAGGCAGCAGUGGGGAAUAUUGGACAAUGGGCGCAAGCCUGAUCCAGCCAUGCCGCGUGAGUGAUGAAGGCCUUAGGGUUGUAAAGCUCUUUUGUCCGGGACGAUAAUGACGGUACCGGAAGAAUAAGCCCCGGCUAACUUCGUG